GCGAGUGGGUGGGACGGGACGGAGGUAUAGCGUGGGGGGCGGGAGUUAAUCGGGAUUACGGGGCAGAAAGGGUGCGUAGGCGGGCGAGCAAGGCUAGUGUGAAAGCCCCGGGCUUAACUGUGGAAUUGCGCUCGAAACUACUUGGCUGGGGUGUGGCAGAGGAAGGUGGAAUUCCACGUGUAGCGGUGAAAUGCGUAGAGAUGUGGAGGAACACCAAUGGCGAAGGCAGCCUUCUGGGCCAACACUGACGCUCAUGCACGAAAGCGUGGGGAGCAAACAGGAUUAGAUACCCUAGUAGUC
rnacentral:rRNA from 1 species